UGGGGAAUAUUGCACAAUGGACGGAAGUCUGAUGCAGCGACGCCGCGUGGGGGAUGAAGGCUUUCGGGUUGUAAACUCCUUUCAGUACAGAAGAAGCUUUAUUGUGACGGUAUGUGCAGAAGAAGCGCCGGCUAACUACGUGCCAGCAGCCGCGGUAAUACGUAGGGCGCGAGCGUUGUCCGGAAUUAUUGGGCGUAAAGGGUACGUAGGCGGUUUUUUAAGUCAGGUGUCAAAGCGUGGAGCUUAACUCCAUUAAGCACUUGAAACUGAAAGACUUGAGUGAAGGAGAGGAAAGUGGAAUUCCUAGUGUAGCGGUGAAAUGCGUAGAUAUUAGGAGGAAUACCGGUGGCGAAGGCGACUUUCUGGACUUUUACUGACGCUCAGGUACGAAAGCGUGGGGAGCAAACAGG
rnacentral:rRNA from 1 species